ACUGUGGUAGCUUGCUUAGCCUGCCUGCCCUCGGGUCAGGGCAGCAAUGUGGAGAGAUAACCACUUCACCUGAGCCUGCUUCCCACAGAGAUGUGUUACAGUUCCCUUUCCCACAUGCUCCUCCUUAAAGCAAAUACAUGUCAACAUCCUAACGGUCCCAAGAAUUUAUAAAUUGUAUAUAGACUGCCUAUAUCACCUUAUUUCUUCUUUGUCAAGGAAAUCUCAUUAGUAAAGAGGAAUGAAAACUGUAGGACUACCCACAAAUGAUGACUGAGUUAAAAGAGCACUCAACAACUAAAGUAGCUGAAAAUAUGCAGGGAACUGAUGUGCUGGCACCCCAGAGGAGAAAAGCUGCAUCUCUUUCUUAUGUCACAGAAACAUUCCUCCGUGGACUGAAGGGUUGGAAGCUCAAGUGGAGAAAACUCACUUGACAGGAAGCAGGCAAAUUGUCAUCUGCAGUCUAUUGAAGAAAAGAUUUGCAUUUUAUUCCUCCCUGGAGACAGGUUAUAAGAAAGAAGAAUUAGCAGGUAAAAUGGAGCAAG